rnacentral:rRNA from 1 species
CCUACGGGUGGCAGCAGUGGGGAAUAUUGGACAAUGGGCGAAAGCCUGAUCCAGCCAUGCCGCGUGUGUGAAGAAGGCCUUCGGGUUGUAAAGCACUUUCAGUGGGGAAGAAAGCCUUGGGGCUAAUACCCUCGAGGAAGGACAUCACCCACAGAAGAAGCACCGGCUAACUCCGUGCCAGCAGCCGCGGUAAUACGGAGGGUGCGAGCGUUAAUCGGAAUUACUGGGCGUAAAGCGCGCGUAGGCGGUUUGAUAAGCCGGUUGUGAAAGCCCCGGGCUCAACCUGGGAACGGCAUCCGGAACUGUCAGGCUAGAGUGCAGGAGAGGAAGGUAGAAUUCCCGGUGUAGCGGUGAAAUGCGUAGAGAUCGGGAGGAAUACCAGUGGCGAAGGCGGCCUUCUGGACUGACACUGACGCUGAGGUGCGAAAGCGUGGGUAGCAAACAGGAUUAGAUACCCGUGUAGUC